rnacentral:rRNA from 1 species
GACGAACGCUGGCGGCGUGCUUAACACAUGCAAGUCGAACGGAAAGGCCCUGCUUUUGUGGGGUGCUCGAGUGGCGAACGGGUGAGUAACACGUGAGUAACCUGUCCCUGACUUUGGGAUAACUUCAGGAAACUGGGGCUAAUACCGGAUAGGAGCUCUUGCUGUAUGGUGGGGGUUGGAAAGUUUCGGUGGUUGGGGAUGGACUCGCGGCUUAUCAGCUUGUUGGUGGGGUAGUGUCUUACCAAGGCCUUGACGGGUAGCCGGCCCGGGAGGGUGACCGGCCACAUUAGGACUGGGAUACGGCCCAGACUCCUACGGGAGGCGACGGAGGGGAAGAUUGCACAAUAGGCGGGAGCCUGGUGCAGCCACGCCGCGUGCGGGAUGACAGCCUUCGGGUAGUGAACCGCAGUCGCCUGAGACGAAACGAGAGUGACGGUAAUGGGUGAAGAAGCACCGGCUAACUACGUG